rnacentral:lncRNA from 1 species
UAUGAAUCCUUAUCUGAAUUGGACUGGUUUGCAAAAAUAUCUGGUUUAAAUAUAAAUUUUGAGAAAACACAAGUAAUUUGGUUUGGAAGUAAAAAGUAUAGCAAGGAAAUUUUAUGUCCUGACGUUAACCUUUCAUGGGGGAAGACAACUUUUAAACUACUUGGGAUAAAUUUUGAUGUAGACUUAGACAAUAUUGUCAACAUCAACUAUAAUGAUAAAAUUAUACAGAUUAAGAACAUAAUAAAACAAUGGUCAAAAAGAAACCUUACAGUAAUAGGUAGAAUAACUGUG